AUCAGUCAGUUGUAGAUGCA
rnacentral:scRNA from 1 species